GGGCCUCACCUGUUUACGGUUACGGCAGCGCAGUUUACUCGGCAGCUUAUGCAAUUCGUUCGCCAGUAAUGUUGUUUGGAUACCGGGCGCAUACUUUGUGAAGUAGAAAUUUUCCAGUUCUUGAAGGAUUCGAUGAAUACGGUUAAAAUGAGAUAUUCAGUAGGAACGUUAAUACGAUAUCCACUCGUGUUUGGUGGAAUAGUGGCAGGAUUUACGUUUGCAUUUAUGAACAGAGACAAAUUUAUGACCGAUUUGGAAGAUGAACGGAAGAGGCUGGACCGAACGGAUGAAGCUUCCAAACAGAUGCUACUAGAUUCGAUGGAUUCCGUAAAUAAAACUCGCACUGUUAAACAAUAAUGCGAAU